ACAUUAGCGGCAGACUACCAUGCAGUCGAGCGGUAGCACAGAGAGCUUGCUCUCGGGUGACGAGCGGCGGACGGGUGAGUAAUGUCUGGGAAACUGCCUGAUGGAGGGGGAUAACUACUGGAAACGGUAGCUAAUACCGCAUAACGUCGCAAGACCAAAGAGGGGGACCUUCGGGCCUCUUGCCAUCAGAUGUGCCCAGAUGGGAUUAGCUAGUAGGUGGGGUAACGGCUCACCUAGGCGACGAUCCCUAGCUGGUCUGAGAGGAUGACCAGCCACACUGGAACUGAGACACGGUCCAGACUCCUACGGGAGGCAGCAGUGGGGAAUAUUGCACAAUGGGCGCAAGCCUGAUGCAGCCAUGCCGCGUGUAUGAAGAAGGCCUUCGGGUUGUAAAGUACUUUCAGCGGGGAGGAAGGUGUUGAGGUUAAUAACCUCAGCAAUUGACGUUACCCGCAGAAGAAGCACCGGCUAACUCCGUGCCAGCAGCCGCGGUAAUACGGAGGGUGCAAGCGUUAAUCGGAAUUACUGGGCGUAAAGCGCACGCAGGCGGUCUGUCAAGUCGGAUGUGAAAUCCCCGGGCUCAACCUGGGAACUGCAUUCGAAACUGGCAGGCUAGAGUCUUGUAGAGGGGGGUAGAAUUCCAGGUGUAGCGGUGAAAUGCGUAGAGAUCUGGAGGAAUACCGGUGGCGAAGGCGGCCCCCUGGACAAAGACUGACGCUCAGGUGCGAAAGCGUGGGGAGCAAACAGGAUUAGAUACCCUGGUAGUCCACGCCGUAACGAUGUCGACUUGGAGGUUGUGCCCUUGAGGCGUGGCUUCCGGAGCUAACGCGUUAAGUCGACCGCCUGGGGAGUACGGCCGCAAGGUUAAAACUCAAAUGAAUUGACGGGGGCCCGCACAAGCGGUGGAGCAUGUGGUUUAAUUCGAUGCAACGCGAGAACCUUACCUACUCUUGACAUCCAGAGAACUUAGCAGAGAUGCAUUGGUGCCUUCGGGAACUCUGAGACAGGUGCUGCAUGCUGUCGUCAGCUCGUGUUGUGAAAUGUUGGGUAGUCCCGCAACGAGCGCACCCUUAUCCUUUGUGCCAGCGGUCCGGGCCGGGACUCAAAGGAGACUGCCAGUGAUAAACUG
rnacentral:rRNA from 1 species